rnacentral:rRNA from 1 species
UACGAAGGGGGCUAGCGUUGUUCGGAAUCACUGGGCGUAAAGGGCGCGUAGACGGCCGAUCAAGUCGGGGGUGAAAGCCUGUGGCUCAACCACAGAAUUGCCUUCGAUACUGUUUGGCUUGAGACCGGAAGAGGUAAGUGGAACUGCGAGUGUAGAGGUGAAAUUCGUAGAUAUUCGCAAGAACACCAGUGGCGAAGGCGGCUUACUGGUCCGGUUCUGACGCUGAGGCGCGAAAGCGUGGGGAGCGAACAGG